UACGUAGGGGGCGAGCGUUGUCCGAAGUUACUGGGCGUAAAGCGCACGUAGGCGGCUUUGUAAGUUAGAGGUGAAAGCCCAGGGCUUAACCCUGGAAUUGCCUUUAAGACUGCAUCGCUAGAAUCGUGGAGAGGUGAGUGGAAUUCCGAGUGUAGAGGUGAAGUUCGUAGAUAUUCGGAAGAACACCAGUGGCGAAGGCGACUCACUGGACACGUAUUGACGCUGAGGUGCGAAAGCGUGGGGAGCAAACAGG
rnacentral:rRNA from 1 species